rnacentral:misc_RNA from 1 species
GCCACUGUUAAUGAAUAGAAAGGAGGAGCAGGACUUAUGAUAGACUCCAGACAGAAAGUACCGAUAAAUCAAGGACAGGGAGAGCAACCACUUCACUCUCUAACCCGGCUUGUUUCUCUUCAAAACCGUACUCCAAAAAUUUCAUCUUGGGCUUUAUUUGUACACAAAGAAUCGUAAACAACAGAACCUCUGUUCACUGUCUCUCCUCUUUCUUUCUUGCUUUCUUUUUUGAAAAACAAGAACCAAAUCCCUCCCAUGGACACCUAUGAAGCAACAAGCAUACUGUUGUCAAAGAUCAACAAUAUAGACCCAGAAAACGCUUCCAAAAUCAUGGGUUACAUUCUCUUACAAGACCUUACUGACAAAGAUUUGUUAUCUUUAGCUUUUGCCUCGCAAACCCUUUUGCAAAAUGUUAUUGUCAAAGCCAAAACUCACUUGGGACUUCCGACGAACGCCUUAUCCACACCGUCAGCGCCAUCAUCUCCUUUGCAUCUCAAUCCUAUAUCAAGGCCUAGCAACAACCAUAACCCAUUUUCACAAUAUUCUGCUAAAGCUAAUUCUCUUAUUGAUUUUGCAAAAAACCCAUCUCCACAUGCAUGGCAUGCUUCAAGCUUGACAAACCAGUGUGCCGCCGCCUCUAUUAGCCCAAAGUCAAGCCCCUUUUUGUCUUACGAUAGUAUACGUGCUGGUUUUGAUUUGGUGGGUAAUGGGAGCGGGGACACUAGUAGUAACAGUACCAAUUUACUUAAUGAGAAUCAAUCAGAUGAAUAUUUUUCGUUCCUUGAUGAUUUCUCUCCACAAAAUGAGGAAUUUGUGGACCCAAGGUUUCAGUUGUGUGGUUUAACUAUGAAUAAUGUGGAUAACCAUUUGCGUAGGAGGAGAUUCUCAGAGAGUGAUGUGUGCUUUGGUAUUGAAGAUGGCGUUUUUGGAAUUGGCCAUAGACCAUGUAUGUAUUUUGCUAAAGGGUUCUGUAAGAAUGGGGAUAAUUGCAAGUUUGUUCAUGCUAGCUUUGAUGGUGAUAAUAUUUCUGAGUUUAGUGAUGGCGGAGCCAUUGGGAGUUCACUUGGGGAAACGAAUGGUCUUUAUUUGCAACAAUAUGAAGAAAUGAUGAGAAUCAAGGCUGCACAACAACAGCAAAGUUUGUCUUACAGCAAGUACAUGAAUUUCCUGUUGCAGCAACAGAGUGAUCCCCAUAGAAUGGCGGCAGCAUCAGUGAUGAUGGGUGAUGAAUUUCACAAGUUUGGACAGUUCUGUUCUGAAAGGAAUGACCUUUUGGCCAUGGCAAUGGAGGAAAAGGCAAACUCGGCUUCUAGGCAGAUCUACUUGACAUUCCCAGCUGACAGCACUUUCAAAGAUGAAGAUGUAUCAAAUUAUUUUAGGUAAACUACUGCAGUUUUAAAUUUUUGGUUCAUUUAUUUGGCUGCACAAUUGGUGCUGAGAGAUUAAGGUUAGAUGCUGAUUAGGCUACAUGUAAUGAAGUAAAAUGUUUAAAAUAGGUUCUGUACAAAUAUAGUGUGACUGUUGUGAAAAUUUGUGCAAUUAAAGUUUAGAAUAUUGGCAGCUUGUAUGCUGCCAGUUGUCUUGAAGAAGGGUUUGAAUGUCCUUCAUUGCCUUCAUGGCAUCUCUGCAUUCCUUUGACUACUGAUAGUGAAAGGCUGGAGGCCAAUGGAACUUUAACCUGCAAUUUUGGCCAUUUCCACUGAAAUUAGGUUUUUGCUCGCAAAAGUUUAAAAUAGUGGUUUCAAGGAACUUCUGUCAGUUGACCUGGUGGGCAUUGGCACGGGGGACUUUAGAUGUGUUCUGGUGGCUGGUUUGUCUGAAAAACAAAACUAUUAAUCUUAUGGAAGAGAGAAAAUUAAAUCCACAUCUCAUGCUGCCGAUUGCAAUAAUUUUAUAUGAAUAUUGCAGAUAUUAACCUAAGCUGUGGGCCUUUGGAGUAUGGAGGAAUGGGAUAUUCAGUGAGUUUAACUGUUUUUGAGAAAGAAAAGACUGAACAUAGUGAGAAUAUUAUUGUUUGAUCUGUUAAAGGGCUCUCUGCUUUAGGAAUCCUUGAAAGCUUGACUUUGGGAAGGGCCAUAGAAAUAUGAUGUCAUAUCUUAUAUCAUUCUUAUGCACAGAGUUCACUGUUUGAGUAAUAUAAUUAAGACAAUUACAAUGUGUUUUGAAGUGCAUUUGGAACAGUUCAAGAUGUCAGGAUUCCAUAUCAGCAGAAGCGAAUGUUUGGAUUUGUUACAUUUGUCCAUCCAGAGACGGUGAAGCUUAUAUUGUCUAGGGGGAACCCUCAUUUUAUUUGUUAUUCACGUGUGCUUGUUAAGCCAUAUAAGGAAAAAGGAAAAAUUGCAAACAAGAGGCAACAGCUAAUGGAUAGGGGGGAUUUUUCACCCUGUUCUAGCCCUUCUGGGCUUGACUCUAGAGAGCUAUGUGAUCUUCACCUUGGAGCGAGAAUGCUCUACAAUACACAGGAGAUGAAGCUGAGAAGAAAGCUGGAGCAGCAGGCUCAGCUUCAACAAGCAAUUGAACUCCAAGAGAGACGGUUGAUUAAUCUGCAACUUCCAGGCGUGAGGGGGGAUUAUAUUCACCCUCAACAGAGAAGCCUGUCUGCUGGUGCACUAAUUACUCUACCCCCUCAUGCGUCUGUUAAUAAUCUUACUUCCGAUGUCAAAAAUCAGGACGUCUUAGAUGGUGGGCUAAUCAAUGACAAGGGUGAUAGCUCAGCCACUGACAUUGGCUGUACUAUUGUUGUUGCUGAACAGCACCUUCAGGAUGAAGUAAGUACAGCAUGCGUUCAGAAGAAAGAUACUGCCAAUGGUGAGGAGAGACUCAAUCCUGAAGGAUGUGAUACCAAUGAAUGUUGUGGGACUGUUAUAGAGCAUGGUCUUCCUGAUAGCCCCUUUGCUUCAACUGCAAAAUCAUUGGGGAAUCAAGAUGAAUUCUCCCCUCCUUUGACAGAAGUUAAAGAAAGCAUCGAGUUCACUGGCACUUCAUCUUCCGAAAUUACUGCAUCAGUGCCCACAACUUCUACUAGUGAUGUGGCUUCUCAUUGAUAAUGUGAAAUGCUAAGGUGCAUUCUUGCCUUAAUUUGCUGUUUUUCUAUAGUUCUAUCCUCUUACACAUCCAGUGCCAGGUUGUUAAUUCUGAUUCGACAGUACUUUGUUUCUGAUAUAUUAUUCUCUCUUUGUUGGACAUGAAGCUAGUCAUUUAGGUAAUAAAGAUUAGCAUGAACAGAUCAGCUUUGCUGGGGUAAGAGAUCAUUGCUCUUCUUGAUCUUUAAUUGGAGUAGACCUACAAUUGUCAAAUCAAAUAAUUUUGUUAUGGUGUUGGGCUGUUGCAGAAAAAUAGAGGACAUACAAAGGUGGUCCUGUAGAUGUAUAGCAAAAUUAUACCUGCAUCAAAUGGUAGAUCUGUAGAGAAUAUCUCAGCAAGAUUGCCAUCAUCAUCAUGAUCAUCAAUACGAUACUACUAACAGCAAAAGCAUAUUACAUACAUGAUGGACAGAUGAACUAAUUUGAGUAGGGUUUUCUCUUUGUUACUUUUUGCUCAUUUUUAGGUUGUGUUGUGGACCACAGACUGAAAUGGAACUAAAGAAUAGGACUCUUAUUACAAUGUCAAGUGUACAUCUUUGCAAUAUUUACCAUCCUUCUCUUAUAAGAUAUCGUAUUACACUUUAGUAGAAGUCAAGUAUUACCAUACUGGUCGGCUCAGGCUUAGC